CGCGUAGGCGGAUUGGAAAGUUGGGGUGAAAUCCCGGGGCUCAACCCCGGAACUGCCUCCAAAACCUAUCAGUCUGGAGUUCGAGAGAGGUGAGUGGAAUUGCGAGUGUAGAGGUGAAAUUCGUAGAUAUUCGCAGGAACACCAGUGGCGAAGGCGGCUCACUGGCUCGAUACUGACGCUGAGGUGCGAAAGUGUGGAGAGCAAACA
rnacentral:rRNA from 1 species